AAAACUUCUUCUGCCUUUUCAAAUACUGUUACCUGCAGUACCAAGCCAGAGCCCCAUCUCCUGCCUGGAGCCCCCUCCACCCCCACGCCACCCCAGCCACAUCUCUCUUGUCUAAAGGAUGCUCUUCUGUGUGAAAUCGCACAGGCUCCCAUUACUGAGAGGCUCUUAGGAAAUCCAUCCCCGCUGCUGCAGCUGGAGGCCAGGGACCACUCAGCUGCUCCUGAGGUGCCUGGCUUAGCGGGGGUAACGUGGGAAGCUGAGACCCUCGCUUAGAGCCAGAGAGACCCAAUGUCGUGGCGUGUGGUGGAAUUCACACUCUGAGCGGCCGUCUGUCUCUGCUCAUCUGCAGAAGGAGACCACGGGGUCCCUCAGUCCUGCUGUUUAAAACACUGGAAACAGAGAACAUGAUCUUAGCCCUGUCUGUGGUAUCUCAUCACACUCAGGGGGUUAGGCUUCAGGGUUUGAUGCCCAGAUUGAAGCCUCUGAGCCCCACGGGCUGGUUUUCUACACUCUGCAUCAGAACCAGCUUCCUUCUGCUGCUGAUGCUGCUGCUCUGGUCCAGACCCUUGGCCUGCCUGCCAUCAGCUCCUGUCCCCCCAUCCCGUCCCUCAGCCUGCUCCUCUUUUGGCCAGAGCUGCCAGUAUAAACUUCCCGACCUUUAACCUUUCUUUCCCAAUUCAGGAACCUCCAGCAUCUCUGGGAAGUUGAAGCUCUCGGGCCCCGUAUGUCUUUCCCAGCAUACAGUGGCACGCAGUGAAUGUUUGUGGAUGGAAUCUUGGCAGCAUUUCUGCCCUCCCCCCGCUCCUGGCCUCCACUCACACAGGGUCUGCUUGGACACUUGCAUGGCCAAGGAACUUGAAAAAGGAGGCAACGCUUCAGAAUCGUCUGAGAGAACAAACACAGGCAAAAAAAGUGGAAUCAGGCUCUGCACAUUCCGUAUCGAAAAAUCGCUAUAGCUUGAACUUCAGUAGAAGACUCCAGAAGGUGAACAACCAGUUCAGGGAAGAGAAAAUGGAGUGAUUCACAGCAAUUCCAGAGAGCUGAAUGCUGGCCAGUGGACACAAGUAUAAGGAGACAGUUUUACUCCAGCCUAAGGAAAGUCUUCCCUGGUGGCUCAAACGGUAAAGAAUCUACCUGCAGUGCAGAAGACCUGGGUUUGAACCCUGAGUUGGGAAGAUCCUCGCUACCCACUCCAGUAUUCUUGUCUGGAGAAUCCCACGGACAGCAGAGCCUGGCAGUCAACAGUCCAAGGGGUUGAAAACAGUCGGACACAACGGAGCAACUUUCACUUACAGAUAUUUAGAAAAAAACUGUUAACUUAAAACAAUGAGUAACAUGGACAUAACAAGCGCCAUGUAGAUAGCAUCACUGACUCAAUGGACAUGAAUCUGAGCCAACUCCAGGAGACAGUGAAGACAGGGAGACCUGGUAUGCUGCAGUCCAUGGGGUCGCAGUCAGACACGACGGAACGUCUGAACAGCAGCAGCUGUCUCUUAAAGAUGGAUAAAGGACAUAUGUUCUAAGGUGUCUGAGGGACACCAGAGAUCUUUUCUGAGGGCCUCUUCUCCCCUAAGCAGCAAACAAGGUGGACACGGGUGCCGCCUACACACGUCUCAGAUCUCGGGCUGGAGGAGGAGUCAGGCAGGUGCCCAGCGUGGCCUGGAGAGGACUUCGGGCACGGGGACUCAGGGCCGGGGCUCCCGUGGCAUCUGGAACCCGGGGCCCUGGGCUGUACGAUUCCCACCCUGGUCCCCAGUGCUGCAGGCACUCAGGCUCCGCUGAUUUCAUCUGGAGCAGUGGUUCAUUACAGCCCCCGACUCACACAUUUGCUCAUUCACUUAACUUUACUAACAGGUAAGAACCUAGAGCUUCUGAGUACAAAAGCAUAUAUAUUUCUAAAUUGCCCAAUAAAAGCUUUAUUCAGUUGGAA
ensembl:lncRNA